rnacentral:rRNA from 1 species
UACGAAGGGGGCUAGCGUUGUUCGGAGUUACUGGGCGUAAAGGGCGCGUAGGCGGCGCACCAAGUCAGGCGUGAAAGCCCUGGGCUCAACCCGGGAAUUGCGCUUGAGACUGGUGUGCUUGAGUACGGGAGAGGAUAGUGGAAUUCCCAGUGUAGAGGUGAAAUUCGUAGAUAUUGGGAAGAACACCGGUGGCGAAGGCGGCUAUCUGGACCGUAACUGACGCUGAGGCGCGAAAGCUAGGGGAGCAAACAGG